GAGCCCCCCAUAGCGGCAGCACAAUCCCCCUCCAAGGCUCCAACCAUAACCCUCCGCCGCCCGCCGUCGAUGAUUGGGAAACCCUAAGGCGCCUCCUCCUCCCCCUUCACACAGUAGCCGCUAAUGCCGCCCGCCGCCCGACCGACCGCGAAUCCUUUUGCAACAGCGACAUAACCACGGCCAUGGUGAUCAAUUAGGAGAUGUAGACAUUUUUUGCGAUAAAGUUGUCGAAGAAAUUUAAGUGGCAAACCAGAUCAGGUUUGAGGUAAUGAGCGUCAUUCUGGUGUCAUGCGUUUGUUGUAUGUGCUACUGUUUUUGUACCAUUGUUUCGGCAUAUUUUUGAAUCCCUCUCUUUUGUGUGUAUUGAUUCUGAAGCAUGUGUAAGCCUGCUUACUCCAUAUUUUGAUUCUGAAGCAUGUGCGAGGCUGCAUAAUCUGUAUUUUUUAACAGUGGAUUUAUACAGAUUCUGACUGUCGCACAGGGAAGACAUGUUUGAUUUCCUCUGUUCUUUGGGUCCCCAUUGUUCCUCAAGCUUUAUGCUUACGGAAAUAUAUGUUCUUGUGCUGAUGUAUUCCUCUGAUGGUAGGCAUCAGACUAGAGUAGGAACUAAAGUUUAAACUAGAUAAUAUCUCCCUAAGGUUUGGCCUAGAAACGAUGAUCUCAGUUCUGACUGUAAUUUUCGUCUCAAGAUCCAGUGAUGAAGGGGAGCAGUGCAACGUUGCCUUUAGUAAAGUUGAUAGUUCCAAUUAUCCCAGCAUGUGCACCAAAACUAUCAUGUGAGAACAUCGGUCUACGAAAGUAAAGAAUAUGUUGAUGCACCUAACAUUCUGUUAAUCCAAUGUGUGAUGUUGUUUGCUAAAAAAAUUGUUUGUAGCUAUGGAAUUGGUCAACAGUGCUCAAAAUCAAGAUUAAUUCCUCACUGCUUCUCAUUGAUGAUUCCAGUACACCAAAAAAGAAAUAGUCAUUCUCUCAAGAGGUACACACACUUUUGAAAUUUAUGUACUUUAAUUUCUUAUGUUUGUCCAUGUUAAAUUCCAUGACUUCAUUCAUGUCUCGUAGGAAAGUAUACACCCUUAUCAUGUGUCAUGUCCAUGCCAAACCAUUGGCCUUGCAGUUUGACUGACCUCUUCUUCUUUUUUUGCAAGUAAAUUUGACUGACCUCUUUACUAUCACUAAAGCAAGUAUGCAUGUUCCGGAUUUAUGAUUAAUUCUUCUUCCAUGACACAUGCCUUUCUAUUAUCUUGUUCACUUAUAUUUCUCAUGAUGUUGUAGUUUUCUUGUUAUUAAAAGGUAUAAUGUAAUGCAUACCAUCACUAAUUUGCAUCAACAGUAUAGAUAUAAAACCCCCUUUCUUGUUUGUCGUUGCUACUUAUGAAGUUAUGCUUUUAGAUAGUCGUUGAAACCUGUAAUCUGCUGACAGGGUUAUAUUAAGGAGUGGCUCUGCUAAUAUUGUUGUUGUCAAACUCAUGACCAGUUUUGAGUGAUUAAAAUGUCCAGUUGCUUCGAGGGUUCAACACAUCAUUUUAUCGUACGAUACGCUCUUUUCUUAUUUGUACAUACAAUUGGCUAUUCGAAAAUGCCAAGGUUUUAUAAAGGAUGGAUUUCUAAUAGGACAACUAAAUAAUUGUAUUGCCUAAUUCUGCCGGUUGUGGCGAAUCUCUAGAAUGCACUAGAGUGGUUUUUCCUGUACAAGAUAAAUAAUGUUUAUAUAAUUUGUUCAUUAUUGGUAAGUUAGGAUUAUCCACAACAUAGUGGCUUGUCUGUCAGUUUCAGCAUAGAAACAUACUUUAGGUUGUCUUUGCGAUGAAUGUGAUUUCUUCUCCAUUUUUCCUUCCGUGUGGUAUGUGCAGGAAACACAGCUAAAUGGUAUUGUGAAUGCAUAUUUAUUUGAUCAGCUCAUGAUUAAAAUGUUUUAAGUAUGAAUGUAUGACACAUACAUGGACUUGCACUAACUGAAUCAUAUUUGUUACGUUCAAUCUCUCCCGGGACAAGAAGCUCGAUGAACAAGAGGCACUACAUCUGGAGGCAACUGUUGUGUGCCAGCAAGAUAUCAACAUUGAUGCAGUUUUUAAUAGCAAUUCUUGUUGAGCGAUGAUUAUUAUACCCCUGCAGACUUAGCCUUGCCCGUCAUGUACCAAAGCUGAUGCAAUUUCGCUAACAAUGUUUGUUGAUCCUGUCAUGUUUUUUAUAACUUGAUAUGAAUGUCUUCUUUUGUUAUGUCCGGGAUGUUCCAGUUUGACAUGUACUAAACAGAUGUGGCGGGGAUAGUCCAGUUUGACAUGUACUCAAGUAUUUGUGUCUGGAAUGGUCCAUUUUACCAUCUUGUACCUGAGAUGGUCCAGCUUACACGUA